CCUUAACUGACGCUAAAGCUCGAAAGUGCGGGUAUCGAACAGGAUUAGAUACCCUGGUAGUCCGCACGGUAAACGAUGGAUGCCCGCUGUUGGCGAUAUAAUGUCAGCGGCCAAGUGAAAACGUUAAGCAUCCCACCUGGGGAGUACGCCGGCAACGGUGAAACUCAAAGGAAUUGACGGGGGCCCGCACAAGCGGAGGAACAUGUGGUUUAAUUCGAUGAUACGCGAGGAACCUUACCCGGGCUUGAACUGCAGGGGAACGAUCCAGAGAUGGUGAGGUCAGCAAUGACUCCUGUGGAGGUGCUGCAUGGUUGUCGUCAGCUCGUGCCGUGAGGUGUCGGCUUAAGUGCCAUAACGAGCGCAACCCUUUUCUCUAGUUGCCAUCAGGUUAGGCUGGGCACUCUGGAGACACUGCCACCGUAAGGUGUGAGGAAGGUGGGGAUGACGUCAAAUCAGCACGGCCCUUACGUCCGGGGCUACACACGUGUUACAAUGGGUGAUACAGAGAGUUAGUCGUUCGCAAGAACGGUUUAAUCAAGAAAGUCAUCCUCAGUUCGGAUUGGGGUCUGCAACCCGACCCCAUGAAGCUGGAUUCGCUAGU
rnacentral:rRNA from 1 species